rnacentral:rRNA from 1 species
AUUGAACGCUGGCGGCAUGCUUCACACAUGCAAGUCGAACGGCAGCGCGGGGCAACCUGGCGGCGAGUGGCGAACGGGUGAGUAAUAUAUCGGAACGUACCCAAGAGUGGGGGAUAACGUAGCGAAAGUUACGCUAAUACCGCAUACGAUCUAUGGAUGAAAGCAGGGGACCUUCGGGCCUUGUGCUCCUGGAGCGGCCGAUAUCUGAUUAGCUAGUUGGUGAGGUAAAGGCUCACCAAGGCGACGAUCAGUAGCUGGUCUGAGAGGACGACCAGCACAACUGGAACUGUGACACGGUCCAGAUUCCUACGGGAGGCAGCAGUGGGGAAUUUUGGCCAAUGGGCGCAAGCCUGAUCCAGCAAUGCCGCGUGAGUGAAGAAGGUCUUCGGGUUGUAAAGCUCUUUUGUCAGGGAAGAAACGGUUGGGGCUAAUAUCCCCGGCUAAUGACGGUACCUGAAGAAUAAGCACCGGCUAACUACGUGCCAGCCGCCGCAGUAA